UGUCAACGGGGGAAAUGUUUAUCAAUUAUUAUUACACUAAAAUAGCCGCAAAACAUUUAUUUCUUUCAUUCAACAAUCAUAUCGAUCAUCAGUGUAAUUUUAUCUGUUCUUGUAAAUGUAAACCACGUGUCAAUUAUAUCAAGCCAAAAUUCUUUUAUCAUUAGGUUAUGAACGGAUUACACAAAUUCUGCUCGGCACGACUCAAUGAGCAGCUGUAUCGAAAGUGUAGUAAAUGCUUGAUUGAGUUACGGAAGGUCUACUGAUGUUUGAUAUUGUUUCGGGAAGUAGUUAGUGCUGUGAUUGUGACCGGUAGUCACGGAGAUCGGUCAUCAUGCUGUCGUGGGUACAACACCGAUGGACCGGCCUGUGCCUGCUAGUGAUGGGCCAGGGGGCCCUAAUGUUGUUUAUGUUCGGAUUUUUCCCGCUGAAGUAUCAUUCGGGAAAUUUUGCGCAUAUGAAUAAUUUGCCGAACUUUAUUGGUGGAGUCAGUAUUGAUGGGCAAGAAGUAUACAACUCAGGGGAGAACACAGUGGUUCUCAUGGUCAUAGACGGGCUCCGCUAUGACUUUGUCACAGAAGAGUACAUGCCGUACACGGGGCAGCUUCUGAAGAACAAAUCUGCAUGUAUAUAUGUAUCUGUAGCAGAACCACCUACAGUCACAAUGCCCAGGAUUAAGGCCAUGAUGACAGGCAGCGUAUCGACUUUCGCAGACGUCGCGUUGAACUUCGGCGCGCCGGCCGUCCGCGGCGACAGUGUGUUGCGCGUGGCGGCCGAAAGAGGGCGCCGCUCCGUUAUGUACGGAGAUGACACGUGGCUGCGACUGUUUCCUGGACUUUGGGCUGAGUCUGAUGGCACCACGUCUUUCUACGUUACGGACUAUACUGAGGUAGACAACAACGUCACCCGGCAUUUAGACAAAGUGUUGACUCCCGAUGACAAGAAGAAGCCCACGUUCGAUUUUCUAGUGCUCCACUACUUGGGUCUAGACCAUAUUGGACACCUAGAGGGCGCUAGGAGCCCGAAGAUAAAACCGAAGCUGCAGGAAAUGGACGAUGUUGUUAAGAAGAUCUUUGAGGCUAUGCAGAAAUGGGACCGGCCAGGCACCCUAUUCGUGUGCGGCGACCACGGCAUGCGAGACGCGGGCGGACACGGCGGCUCCACGCCCGCCGAGGUGCUGGUGCCGCUGGUCGCGGCCCGCACUGACCCCUACCAGUGCCCACACCCUGACAGCCACGGCCCGACAGUCGCCCAAGUGGACCUGGCGCCGACUAUAGCGUGGCUGCUCAACGCGCCCCCUCCCGGGGACAGCACGGGCCGGAUCCUGCCCGGGCUGCUGCCCGACGGCAUCCUGCAGCGCCUGUACCUGCUGCACAUCACCGCGCGCCACAACGCCGACCAAUGCACCGGCAAGGCUGCCACUGAGACAGAAUUCUACAAACAAUUCGAACGCGCCGAGAAACAAUUCGCGCACUACCUCGCCACAGGGGAAAAGAGCGCUGCCAAGAUAGCCAAGGAAUUCUACGAGGACUCUUUGGAAAAGAUGGCCGAGUACCUUACGGAGGCCACUGUUGGGUUCGACUUGUUCGCUAUAGGAGUGGGCAUCGUUCUACUUUAUUGUAUCGCCAUAUCCCUCGUCUGCAUAACCCUGUACUCUCUCCAACCAGAAACCUCCCGCAAGCACAGCGUCCACCGCCUCCACGCCACAUCUACAUGGGGCUCAAUUAUCGCCUUCAUAAGUGUCCUAGCAAUCACCAACAGCAUACUAGUCCUCUCCUGCUAUAUCACUGAAACUAAAACACAAUUUUGUUCCAUGCGAGGCAUUUGGCUCGCGAUUUUUCUGCUAGUCUCUUGUGUUUUAUCCAUGUCGUAUUGGAUCAUCAAAACGAGCAUAGAAAAGAUUAAAGACUUGUCUUUAUUGCGAGAUUUGAACGCCAUAGACUAUCUACUAAUUAUCGGAACCCUGUUCCAUUCGUGGUCGUUUUUCGGGACUAGUUUUAUAGAAGAGGAGCAUAUGACAUGGUAUUUCUUUUGGAACACGUUAAUGUUCUUCAUAUUAGUACGGACUUUAGCGGUGGUUGUUAUAUACUUGUCGAGAAAACUGAGUGGUGCUACGGAGGUACAGGAGAAACCUGAGUUGGAGCAGAGGAUGAGUGCGGUGGGGAUUGGGAUCGUGCCGAAAUGGGUGCUGCUUAUUGCUUUGCACAGGUAUUUAAGGACAAUGAACCAGACAGGAGACCGCUGGCUGUUCCUUCCCGAUACAGCGGACUGGUUGAAGGCGCCCGAAAAUGCCUUCUAUCUCCAAGCACAUCUAGUCAUUGGAGCCGUGGUAACUUUAGGAAUAUGUCUCUACAACCUCCGGUACACCAACAACCUCGGCCACCUCCACACAAUCUUCACAACAGCCGCCGCCAUAUGCAUAUUCUGUUACCGCAUAGCCACCGACUCUCUCGACUCGCCCUUUGAAGACAUCAAGUCAUGGGACACUGUCCACAUAGUCAAUGUCUUCUGGGUUAUAUUAAUCGCCCAAUUCGUAUUCGAAUUUCUAACCUACGUCGGCGUAUUCAAAAACUGCGGCGUCAACCCAGCCACCCGUAACACUGUAAGCAGCAACCGAUUCGACUACAAUAAGUCUAAAGCGAAAACCGAGGACUAUUUCUACGAACCCAUGAUAGAAGAGCCGUGGAACUUAGAAGAAGUGAAAUUAAACCUUGCUCGUUCAAUGUCGCACCUUAUGUUGAACGACUUAAUGUUGAUAAUCGCUCUGCUGAUGCGCCCGCAUAAUGUUAUAAUGGUGCCGAGUGUAUAUAUAACUUGUGUGUUGACGUCGAAGUGUAUGGACCAUAAGUUGUUGGAUUCGAGGUCGGGGAGGAAUACGGAGGUGGUGGAUAUUUUGAGCCGGACGCUGGUUCACGUUUGGAUUGGCUACCUUUUCUUCUUUUACCAGGGUAACUCCAACAGCCUAGCGUCAGUAGACCUAGGGUCCGGCUACGUGGGGCUGCGCUCGUACUGCGCCGUGCGCGUGGCGCUGCGCAUGGGCAUCCACGCCUACGCCGGGCCCGCGCUCGCCGGCGCCGCGCUCUACUGCCAGCUGGCGGCCGAGGCGGGCAGCUGGAGGCAGUGAGUGUUACAGGGCGACUCCAACAGUGCACCUAGCUCCGGCUACGUGGGGCUGCGCUCGUACUGCGCCGUGCGCGUGGCGCUGCGCAUGGGCAUCCACGCCUACGCCGGGCCCGCGCUCGCCGGCGCCGCGCUCUACUGCCAGCUGGCGGCCGAGGCGGGCAGCUGGAGGCAGUGAGUGUUACAGGGCGACUCCAACAGUGCACCUAGCUCCGGCUACGUGGGGCUGCGCUCGUACUGCGCCGUGCGCGUGGCGCUGCGCAUGGGCAUCCACGCCUACGCCGGGCCCGCGCUCGCCGGCGCCGCGCUCUACUGCCAGCUGGCGGCCGAGGCGGGCAGCUGGAGGCAAUACCUCCAAACAGUAUGGCGAGCGACUAACAUAUUCGCUCUCCAACGAGUAUACUCCGUCGCCGUAUACUGCGUAGUAGCCACCGUCUUCCGACACCAUCUAUUCGUAUGGACGGUCUUCUCGCCAAAACUACUCUACGACUUCGUGGCAAUGACCUUCACUAUACAAGCUUUAGUUACCAUAGCCGAGAUAAUAGGUCUAACGCACUUAACUAGUUGGAUAGCGCAAGCGUUUGUGAGUAAAUCGAGACUGUGAUACAUUAGAAUAGUUAGCGUUUUCUUAUUCCACUAUAUAGUGUUUUUUAGUGUUCCGUACAAAAGUUUGUUCACGGAACACUUAUAGGAUCACUUCGGUCUUGCAAAUCAGUUAUUUUGGCAACUGGUUUGCCAGUACUGAAACUGAAUAAAUGUAAUAUACUAAAGAAAAGGUUACAUAUCAGAAUCCCGAAACCCAAUUAACCUAACGUUUCACCUAUGUUUGACACCAUUGACACUCGAGCGCGUCAGGUAUUGGUAGUGUCAGUCGCGCAACAUGUCUCUGAUAACAAGGGUGUGUUAAUCUGCCGGUUUACAUAGACAGGGUGGUCAUACGGAAGGGUAGAAAAUUUGGAAAAAAUAUCAUUUUUAAUACAGUUGCUCAAAAAGGGCUACUUUUCGUGGCUGUUUAGCGUGCGGAAAGUUGGUUUUCGCGAACUAGUGCUUUUUACUUUUCCAAUUUUUUUAAAUUUUUACUUGUUCCAAUUCAUGACUACUUAUUGAUGAGUGUUAAUAUUAAUUUCAUUUAAACGUAAUCAACAUAAAAACCUACUGUUAAUGUAAGAAUACGAAAAAUAUGCAUAUUUUAUUACUUACCUCUUCAUCAUUAUAAGUAUUAUAACACGUUUAUUUUUUAAUGUUGAAAAACCGUUCUUAAUAAGUUGUCUGAAUGGAACGGAACGCCUGUCAAAGAAGAGGCGUAUUUUCUUACUGCAAGAAUGUUUUGAGUUUCAAAAGGCAACAUUCGAAAUUGUUUUUAUAAAUAUACGAUACACAAAUAAUCAUAUAUAACGAUAUUUAGGUAAUAAUAGUACAAUGUUUUAAUAUUUACAAUUGUUUCUGUCUUAUAGAACAUGCAUUUGAAAAAAAAAACUUACAUUGAAGUGGGUUCAUUAAUAAUAACAAAAUCUAUUCUAGUCGAAUAAAAGCUAGAAAAACACUUCUUCAUAAUGUCAAUGUCAAUGAUGUCACAGAAUUAAUAAUAUAAAAGUUUCGAAUUCCGUUCCUUACUUGUUGCUUUUCAUUUUUUCGCAACUGUAUUAAAAAACGUCGUUCGGUACACGUGCGGAAAUGUCAUUCUUCACUCGUCCCGAGUCUUGCCACUCGCCUACGGCUCGUGGCAAGAUAUCUCGGUACUCGUGGAGUAAUGACAUACUUUCCGCACUAGCAUCGAAAUGUACUAUUACACGAGCGCGUCAGAUAUUCAAAGGGGUGGUUAAUUGGACCCUAAAAAUGUGUCUAUUUCAAUAAUCUGACAAUUUCAGCGAUUCGUAAGCAAAUGGCAGAGUCACAACAAAGCUGCAAAAAAAACCGCCAUCUUGAAAUACGAGGUAAUUCGUUGAUUAGGUGUUAUGAGCUUAGGUUAAUUAAUCAUUAGGUAUUUAAAAAAAUAGGUGAAACGAGCAUAGGUGAAUACACACUUAAACAUUAGCUAAAUCGAUUUUCGGUAUUCUGAUAUGUAACCAAAGAAAAGGUGACCAAGCCGGAUGGCUAGUUGUUUGCCAGUUGCUUCGAAGAGGGAAGUCAGUGUUACGUGGUAAAUAUUCAUCUCUUUCAUAGGACCAAUUGUGAGUUUAUGGCUAUGAAUAGGGCUUAUUUGUGUGAUGAGCACAGAUAUUUGUUCCCGAGUCAUGGGUGUAUUCUAUGUAUUUAAUAUUUAUAUAUUAUGUAUAUCGUUGUCUGAGUACCCAUAACACAAGCCUCCUUGGGCUUACCGUGGGACUUAGUCAAUCUGUGUAAGAAUGUCCUAUAAUAUUUAUUUAUUUAUUUAUAUUACGCGAAACCCUGCGUAGGGGGCGCCACUACCACAAUCUGAGGGUCUAUCGCGAAACGAGAAAAUCGAAAUUUCGUUAUCUAACAUCUCUGUCACUUGCAUAUUCGAGCGAUAAAGAGGCAGAUAGCGAAAUUUCGGAUUCGUGUAUCCCGGUAGGUCCUCUGUAAACAAACUGCCUUGAUGCAUCAAUGUCAUAUUUUAUUAUCUCUGAAAAUUUGUCAAAAACCUGUUAAAGGUACAGUAUGUAUAAGUUACUCUAUGGUUCACUAAAAAGGCUAGUGCUGCACUCUGGUGGCAGAACAUUGCAGUAAUAUCCCCUAUUUAUACUGCGGUUUUAUACAAUUUAACUUAACCCUUUUCCAGGCAUAGUAUGAUUUAUCGACCACAUACGCGCCAAAAGAAUUUCAACUUUAGCAUUUCCUGUUAAGGGUCUAAUUAGAUUGCACUAUAGGGAAAUGUGACUUGUCUUCAAAUGAGUUAUCAGUUGGAUUAAUUGGAAUAUAUUAGGAUUUUUUUUAGAACACCUUGUAGAUUCGUGCGGCCUGGAAAAGGGUUAAAACUAAAAUGUAUUUUACAAAAUUGUAUUGUAUGUUGUAUGGCAGUAUAUAUUUAAUUAGAACUAGUCGUGCUAGGAUGUUACUUUAUUAAUUAUUUUAAUAACAAUAUUAACAUAAUAAAACGGGCUGAACUACUAUCACAUACGCUCGCGGUUGACAUAUUUAUCUACCGCGUCCAGAAAAACGACUAGGAUGGUAUUCUAUCUGUACAAUAUCCUGGUCCAAUGUGUAUUUAGUUUCGUCUCACAUUUUGCUUAAUGAGAGAGUAAGACGCAAUGCACAUUGGACAAAGAAAUUGGACAGGUGACCACCCUUAGACAUUAAUGUAUUAUUUGACAAUUAGGGUUCCGUACCCAAAGGAUAAAAACGGGACCCUAUUACUAAGACUCCACUGUCCGUCUUUUCGUCUGUCCGUCUGCCACCAGGCUGUAUCUCAUGAACCGUGAUAGCUAGAAAAGCAGUUGAAAUUUUCACACAUGAUGUAUUUCUGUUGCCGUUAUAACAACAAAUAUGUGCAUACCAAAGAUAUAACUCCAUAAUAGAUGGAUACAGUCUAAGGAAAAAACGUGCCUCGAAAAUCACGAAAAUUUGAUUCUCGAUCAGAUGUCACUACUACCUUUGGCCUACUCUCGUAUAGAGGGCGUUGACGGUUUCGUUUGUUAUUUAACAAUUUUAACGCAUAUCAGUGAGAGAACAUGGGUUCAAAUAAUAAAAAUAAUUAAUGCAAAUAAAAAAAAUCAUUUAUCCAUAUUUAAAUACAUUUUAUCGUAUUUUUAUAAAUCUUCAUUUUUAGUUUUAAAGUGUGUCGAUAGAUGGCAGUGAAUUUACUGUGGUUACAAAAUUUACUAUGACAGUACCGCUCUAUAAUAUUAUAUCCUCUUUGGUACGUACUAAAACGUACGGAACCCUCGCUGGGCGAGUCCGACUCGCAUUUGUCCUCUUUUAUUCAAUAACGUUUCAGAAUUAUGACUAAUUUAUAAAAAAAAGGUAAACAAUGGAUGUAGUGGCACGUGCGGUUUUACUUACCAAUAGACAAAGGAUUAGCCGUUCGGGGCCAGCUACAAAUCGAACGACUAUACUGACAUUUUAUUUCACUAUACCUGACGUACACACAUUAUUAUAUGUGAGCUGUUUGUAGCUACGCUACGGGCUAAAUUGAAUCUUGUUAGGCAGUUGCCAUAAAUGGUUUAACAACAAUUGAAAAAGUCCCGUACCAUCAGUGUAUAUCUUUUUUUAAGUCACGAUACUUUAUUAUAAAUGAGAUUAAAAACUACCCGCUUUUCUCUAUUACGACGGUCAGAAAUGAGUUCAUCCGUGGCAGUUUUAAAGUCAGACCCAUUGAAGAAAAACUCGCUGAAACCCGUCUUAGGUGGUAUGGACACGUAAUGAGGAGACCCGAGGAUCAUAUGACCAGAAAGGUCCUCAGUAUAAACACCGGUCCGAGGAAUCCCGGUAGACCCCUUCAAACUUGGAUGUCCGUCAUCAACAAUGAACUAAAGAAAGCCCAAAUCAACACGAUGACCCAGAACCGAAGAGUGUGGCGAAGAUUGACGAGCAGAGCCGACCCCAAAUGAAAUGGGACGUGGCUAGGCAAAGAGAGAGAGAGCUUUUCUCUAUUACACGAAAUCAAAUACAUAAUUUUAUACGGAAAAUUAUUAAGAAAUAUAUUUCAAUAUCAUGAAUAAAAUAAAUGCUCUUCCACUAAUUUGAUGUGAGCUUUAUUACAUAGAGGGUUGUUCAUUUGUUUUACUUUACAGGACCAUACGUUAGAUGUUAGAAUGACGUCAAUUACGUUAGUGUAAGAUUAACCUUUUCGCCGCCACGUCAAUGAAGAAAUAAAGUGCACGUACACAACCCGUAUCUCAUAAAUCGAGUCGUGGCGUGUAGGGCACGAAAUGUACUCACUUUAUAUCAAGUCCAUGGCGGAGAAAAAAUAGUCUCAGGAUUAAAUCUUGGUGUGGCGUCUCUGAAUUAAAGAAAAUCUUAAUUAACAAUUAAAUUACUUUCUAACAUCUUACGUACUCUAACAUGUAAGUCAAUAAAAGAAAAAGUGUCUUCAACAACGUUUAUUAGUGUUUAAUUGAACAAUGUUUUUAUUUAUUUUUUUAAACGUGGGUCGUUAUAGACCCUUACACCAAACCAUUGUCCUAAGUUAAAAUAAAUCUAAUUUACUAUGUCACAUGUUGCUAUAAUAAUAUUCUGACAAGAUAUCAGAGUAUUUAU